rnacentral:lncRNA from 1 species
AUUCAGUAUCUUUGAGGAACAGACAGAACCAAAUUUCUGAAAAAUAGCCUAUUUCAUCCCUCAGAAAAUUGAGCCUGUAAUUAUAUUCUAGAUCUUGAUACAGACAGUAUUUAUAUCAUUGCUAUGCACUUGUUCUUUAUAGGUAUGUUAACGUGCCAUUUUUUAAGUUUACCUAAUUUUUAUGUAUAGCUGAUUCAUUUUUUAGCAGCAGUAAAGGAACCUUGAAAACUUUAAUCUUUUUUCCACACAUUUUUUUGCAAAAAUCCAGGCACAGCUUCCCAUAGACGAGCUCAUAACGGAGCAUUUGCAGCCUCUGUAUUUACAGAAGGCCACCUGACACGACACAAAGCAGCCAGCGAAAGCUGAAUUCUUCCCCAGCGGAGCAAAGGGGUGAAGAAAUACUGAAAACGUGAUCCCAUGAGGGAUAACUUGGCCAGACUGCACAUGCAGCAGCUCCCGGCAGUGUGAGCAGGGUUUGGUAGGGCUCACGGGGGAGGCAGGCAGGUGGGGAGCUGCGAUUAGCCGGGGCCUCAGCGGGGACGGACGGGGUUAUCGGCGGCGGGAUGCCUGCCAGGUCACGUGCAGAUAUUUCUCUGAAGCGGGCGAUCGGCAGGAGUUUAGCAAUAAUAAAACGGGAUAAAGCGUGUUUGCAUAAACACGGAAAUGAGGCAGGCUCACACCACAAAAACAGCUGCAAAAACUGUUGGCGUUUUGGGGUCGGCCGCUUUCAGCUGAAAGACAGAGCUACAUAGUUCACUGUGGCAAGCUAAUAUAUUUAUGGUCCAAAGGGCUCUCCUCACCCCCAGACUUGAGGCUUACAGAGGAAUCCAAGGUAUGUAAUGAUGAUGUGAACAUGAUACACUUUACUGUAACCUGUGCUGCAGGCAGCUGUUAAUGCCAGUCUAACUUCUGCAGUAUGCAGCCAAAGGAAAGCUGUCUGCAGCAUAUGUAUAGCUUCAGUCUGCAGCAUACUUACUGUGAAGUCAAUGGCAUGCUGAAGUGGAUGCCGCAGAAGCAGAGAGCCAUUUGUUAAAAUUCAAGUCUCAGAUGUUAAUAUAUAUUUGGGAUAAUUUCUCUGCCUGUGAAAGAAAUUCAUUUCCUCCCUGCUAAAUUACUACUGCAGUAGCAUCUACAGUGUCGUACAAGGUCUCAGAGACUCAUUGUGCUAAACGCUGGGGAAACACAGGGAAAGAUCGGCAGGCUCCAAAGAAAUAAAAGUCAAAGGUGGCAAAAAGGUCA